GGCUCAGAUUGAACGCUGGCGGCAUGCUUUACACAUGCAAGUCGAACGGUAACAGGUUAAGCUGACGAGUGGCGAACGGGUGAGUAAUGCAUCGGAACGUACCGUGUAGUGGGGGAUAACGUAGCGAAAGUUACGCUAAUACCGCAUACGCACUGAGGUGGAAAGCAGGGGAUCGCAAGACCUUGCGCUAUACGAGCGGCCGAUGUCAGAUUAGCUAGUUGGUAGGGUAAAGGCCUACCAAGGCGACGAUCUGUAGCGGGGUCUGAGAGGAUGAUCCGCCACACUGGGACUGAGACACGGCCCAGACUCCUACGGGAGGCAGCAGUGGGGAAUUUUGGACAAUGGGCGAAAGCCUGAUCCAGCCAUGCCGCGUGGGUGAAGAAGGCCUUCGGGUUGUAAAGCUCUUUCGGCUGGGAAGAAAUCGCACAGGCUAAUACUCUGUGUGGAUGACGGUACCAGCACAAGAAGCACCGGCUAACUACGUG
rnacentral:rRNA from 1 species